rnacentral:tRNA from 1 species
GGGGAUGUAGCUUGGUUGGUAAGGCGCCUGCCUACAGUGCAUGAAACCCUGGGUUUAACUCCCAGCACCA